UACAGAGGUCUCAAGCGUUGUUCGGAUUCAUUGGGCGUAAAGGGCGCGUAGGCGGCGGGGUAAGUCGGGUGUGAAAUCUCAGGGCUCAACCCUGAAACUGCACUCGAUACUGCUCUGCUUGAGGACUGGAGAGGAGACUGGAAUUCACGGUGUAGCAGUGAAAUGCGUAGAUAUCGUAAGGAAGACCAGUGGCGAAGGCGGGUCUCUGGGCAGUAACUGGACGCU
rnacentral:rRNA from 1 species